rnacentral:rRNA from 1 species
GUGAGGAAUUUUCCGCAAUGGGCGAAAGCCUGACGGAGCAAUGCCGCGUGAAGGAUGAAGGCCUAUGGGUUGUAAACUUCUUUUCUCAGAAAAGAAUUAUGACGGUAUCUGAGGAAUAAGCAUCGGCUAACUCUGUGCCAGCAGCCGCGGUAAGACAGAGGAUGCAAGCGUUAUCCGGAAUGAUUGGGCGUAAAGCGUCUGUAGGUUGUUUAAAAAGUAUUCUGUCAAAGAUUAGGGCUUAACCCUAGAUAGGCAGAAUAAACUUUUAAGAUAGAGUUUGGUAGAGGCAGAGGGAAUUCCCGGUGAAGCGGUGAAAUGCGUAGAUAUCGGGAGGAACCCCAAAGGCGAAGGCACUCUGCUGGGCCAAUACUAACACUGAGAGACGAAAGCGAGGGGAGCAAAUGGGAUUAGAAACCCGUGUAGUCC